AUCUUGGAUAUAUUUUCCUUCCCUUUUAGGAGAAGAAUAAAUUCAAUCUGACCAUAUAAUUUGUCAAUAUCAAAAAAAAAUCAUCUUGUAAGAAGGAUUGAUAACAGAUGGUACUUUUGACAAAUUAAAGUUACUAGAGAAAAGCUUCUGUAACACAAUGUUCACAUGACAGAGCUGAUACUUGAACCCUGCUCACUUAACUUAUAACUAAUUGCCUUUCACCCAUAUUUUCCUGUUCUAUUUCUAUUCCUCCAAAAAUAUUCCUAAAAAAAACUUUCAGAGCAUACUUUAUUGUUUUUCAACCAUAACAGGGAGCGCUAGGGUAUAUGGAUUUCAGCCAUAACAAAGAGCUCUAGGAUGGAUGAAUCUAGAUAUAAUCUUUGAUUUUGAUACAUAUUAUCCUCUUAUUUGAGGGACUUUUAAAUUAACAAUAAUACACUUAAGUAUAUUAUGUUAAGUAUAAUCAGAUCACCUCUCUUUGCCAAUGCUCAGUGUAUUAAAUUUGGGAUGCUGGAAAGCAAUAAAGAAAAAGCUACUGAAUGUCUAUCAAUGAAAGAGAAUCCUUCACCUUGUGACAGCGACAGAUGGACUCCUUGCCUCCCUUUCAACUUUCAGUGGGUAUGAUGCUAGUCCCUGAAUAUCUGAAAAGAGAGAAUUAGGACUGCAAAUAAGAUAAAAAAAAAGUCCAAGCAUUAUGUGAUUCAAUCAUUGAUACUCAUUCCCAAAGAAGGCUAGCUAAAGAUGAAAGCUGAAAAUUCCUCACUGAACUUCUCAAUUCUAAUUCCAGCAUGUAUUCUUCCCAGCUCUACUACCCAUUAAACUGCUCUUUAUGACAAAGAUUUCACCUGGAAAAAGAAAUGUAGAGAUUCUAUAAGAUAACCUAUGAAUAUUCUAUAAAUUGGUUUACAAAUUGUGUAAAUAUCCAUUACACAUCCAUUGAUUUACAUAUAGGGUCAAGGGAUCUAAAGGAAAAUCCCAAGAAUGUUGGAAUAAACUCCUGUAAAGGACUGAUGAUAAUAUAUAGACAAGAUAUAUAGAAGGGGAAAGUGACAAAUAUUGGAGGAAAUGUGCAAAUAUUGGGACACUAAAUUCAUGAUUGGUGGAAUUGUAAAAUGAUCUAAUUACUUUAGAGAAUGAUUUGGAAUUAUGCCCAAAGAGUUAUUAAAUUACAUAUACCAGUUGACCCAGUAAUAUCACUAUUUGGUUAAUUUCAAAAAAUAAUUGGGAAAAAGGAAAGGAACCCAUAUAUUCUAAAAAUAUUUAUAGAAUUUUUCUUUGUGGU